UUUCCACCGGAGCUUGCUCCACCGGAAAAAGAGGAGUGGCGAACGGGUGAUACACGUGGGUAACUGCCCAUCAGAAGGGGAUAACACUUGGAAACAGGUGCUAAUACCGUAUAACAAUCAAAACCGCAUGGUUUUGAUUUGAAAGGCGCUUUCGGGUGUCGCUGAUGGAUGGACCCGCGGUGCAUUAGCUAGUUGGUGAGGUAACGGCUCACCAAGGCCACGAUGCAUAGCCGACCUGAGAGGGUGAUCGGCCACAUUGGGACUGAGACACGGCCCAAACUCCUACGGGAGGCAGCAGUAGGGAAUCUUCGGCAAUGGACGAAAGUCUGACCGAGCAACGCCGCGUGAGUGAAGAAGGUUUUCGGAUCGUAAAACUCUGUUGUUAGAGAAGAACAAGGAUGAGAGUAACUGUUCAUCCCUUGACGGUAUCUAACCAGAAAGCCACGGCUAACUACGUGCCAGCAGCCGCGGUAAUACGUAGGUGGCAAGCGUUGUCCGGAUUUAUUGGGCGUAAAGCGAGCGCAGGCGGUUUCUUAAGUCUGAUGUGAAAGCCCCCGGCUCAACCGGGGAGGGUCAUUGGAAACUGGGAGACUUGAGUGCAGAAGAGGAGAGUGGAAUUCCAUGUGUAGCGGUGAAAUGCGUAGAUAUAUGGAGGAACACCAGUGGCGAAGGCGGCUCUCUGGU
rnacentral:rRNA from 1 species